rnacentral:lncRNA from 1 species
AAACCUCAUCUCUAAAAAUAAACAUAGAAAAAAAAAGAAGACAGAGUGAGGAUUCGCAUUGUUCUUCAAGGCUUUUUGAGUUGCCGUGUGUUUUGUUCAAAUGUGACCCGUGCACAUAGCCACUGAGAACAAGCUUCAGACACAGGCAGAACCUCAGUUCUAAGACAAUGGUUGUCCACUCACAACAAGCCAAUCAACUUCAACAGAGAACAACAAAAUUCAGAGGCAAAAUGAUGGGGUGCUUAUGGUAAUAGAAGGGAAAAUUAAACAACAAUAAUAGUAAAUAGAAAAACAUCACACUUAUUCUCCUCAAAUAAAUUUGAUACUUCGAUUUUUGUACUUAAGAAAAAAUGGAUAUCUGGAAAAUUAUUUAAUGAACUAACGCUUUAUACACCAACAACAUGAACACCAGCUUUGUUUGUGUGUGUUGCUCUUGUGUUUCUACUGACCUCCCUGUCCCCACUCUCCUCACUCUUAAACCAGUUCUUUUCCUAAGCAAUAAAUCCUAUUACCUUAUUUACCUGCUUAAAAACUUCUAUUGGUUCCCUGUUGGGUAAAUGAGAAAAUCAAAACCCAACUUGGCAAUAGGCCCUUCCCAGGCCCCAGCUGACUUUCUCUUGGAGCUAUUACCCUCAUGUCUGCCAGGCUGGGCACUUUAUUCAUUCUGUUUUUCUCUAUGUUCUUCCUCUACAAUCAUUCUCACCUGCCCAGCUCCAUCUCAUCCUCCUAGGUAAAGCCUUUGGUGACAAACUCCCUGUCCCUGGCAGCUCCCCACCCUCUCUCCCAGCUUUCCUCGGAUCUCUGAAAUGCCAUCUAAAUGUCUGUCACUUCCCUCAGAUACAGAAAAGGUCCUAUUUCUUACUUUCUCUGAACCCCUGUAUACCCAGCAAGGAGCCCAGCACAUAGUGGGCAGUGAAUAGCUAAGAAACAAAGUUUUUCAUUCUGCAAAUCACUUUCUACCUUGUUUCCAAGAGCUUCAGGGCAGUUUUCCAUAGUCUAACUCCAAGAGGCCCCUUGUCUUCACAUGGAAAGCCCAAGAAGUAGAUAAUGAGAGUUCUCUGGGCCCACACCAAUCAUUCCUGUAGAACAAAUUGAUGGUGUUCUCAGGGAGUGACACUGUGGGACACACCCCUGGGAAGCACUUGUCGAAAACUUUCCCCAUAGGUAUGUCAAGCAAAAUGUUGGGGGAGGGUGCAAAAAUGUUUCCCUUCCUAUUCAACAGAUCAGCACAUCUUAGAAAGAGAAAAUGACAGAGGGAGAGUAGAAGAGCAGAGCAUGAAAGAGAGGGUGGCUAUCCAAGGACAGUCUCUGCUGUCUGUCAGCUCACACCUCCUGCCACUCCCUGCUACUUAGGAAAUAGUUCCAGCCAAUUUCUUGCCCUUUUCCCAUUAUUUUUUCUAUCUGGGCCUUUCCACCGCUAACCAAAAAGGAAAAGAAAAAUUUGAUUUCCACCAAAAAUCAAAAUAUGUGAUUUUACUAGGAUUAUUUAUCUAGAUAAAUAUCUCUCUUGUCAGUAUUAAUGUGUAUAUUACAUUAAGUGGUAUUUAUUUUGUACUGGCAAACAAAAAGAAUAACUCAGAGUUUCUACUCUCUCUAUAACCAGCAAUAUCCCACAAGUUAAGUCCAUUUUUCUCAGAUAGAGAAAUAUUCUCAGAAUAAACUGGCUUAUCAUUCCAAUGUUUUACAUUUAAAUUGUCUGAAGCUUCUUUUCCUUUUUUCAGCUAUUUAAUGUUCAGCAUCUGCAGAUUCUAGUUCCAGAGUUAGAUCAGCCUGGAGAGCUUCUAAUUUCUUGAACUCUCCGUUCUGACCUGAUUCCUACCCCCAGGGAAAUAUAAUGCAGCUUCUGGAAUCUUUCUAAACCACACAAGGACUGUUGUGGAAGGACAUUUCAGUCAUCAGAGUUUAUGACUCAGAGCUUUUGAGCAUCUAAGUUCCAGUAUCUGUUUUUAAACUGUCUCUUGAUCAGAGUUUAGGUCUUCUAGUUUCUCCCUAUUUUACAUUAUAGAAACUAAAUCAAAGGAUUAAUAAGACAAACAAUGCUUGCAAAUAUAAAGUGCUAUUGCAAUGUUAGAUUAUGAUAAUAGGGUAUUUUAAGGAUGACAAGAAUAAAUAUAAGGGGAGAGAAGGACUCAUGAAUUUGGGGCAGUCAUUUAGGAAUUAACCUAAUAUUUAUUUCUACUAUAUGCCAAGCAAUUUCACAUACAUUCUCCCAUUCAAUCUUUAACUCUGUGGCAUAGACAUUAUCUCCAUUUUAAAAGAGAAAACUGAAGUUCUGAGGGGUUAAAUCCCUUGCCCAAGAGUCCCACUGCUAGUGGGUGCCAUAGGAUUUGAACUUAGGUCCUUUGACUCCUGGUUCAAAAUUAUUUUCACUGCAUAACUUUUGCUGAAAAGACUAGCACAGUCCCUGGUUAGAAAUUUGUUAUCCAUUAUCUAUGACCCACUUCUAGGGCUUACUAAAAUAAAUAGUUUUAUUCUACUACAACCUCAAAAGUAUCUCAAAAAAUGAAAUUGAGAGGCUCCCCCACUUCUUAGAAUGGUUUCACUUAAGCAAGAACCAAGAAAGGUAGAAUUUGUAGAGAUGUGUAACGGCUCCCAGGAUCCUUUACAAACAGGCAUAAACCCCUACCUAAUGCAGACUACUCAAUGCUCCCUCCUUUUGGACUAAAUGGGGCCCUUUUACCGAGGAAGCGCUAAUAUGGCAUCAGGCUAUUAAUGGGAAAAGCAUUUACUUUAGAUUAAGAAGAGUGUAAAGCAGUGUGGAGGGGGGGCUCUAUGACUGGCUAUUAGGGAUGUUAAUUAAAUAUUUAUAAUGUCUAAAUUAGCAUAGCGAAAGCUCAAUUCAUCAAUUUGUUCUGGUCUGUUUGUAAGGGGGAAAAAAUAACUCCAAAUGCCCCUGAAGAAAGACACUAUGUGGGUCAAUAAGAAGAUGACUGAACAAUUUAUUAUGAUUGUGGUAAACUUUUUAUUUGAUUUUAUUUAAAGGUACUUGUUGCAGCACCUUACCUUAAAGACCAUUUACCACAGUCAAUAUACUGGAGGGCCAUGCAUUAUUCAUUGUUAUCCAAUGAAAAAUUUUCUAAGGUGCUUCAAUGCUGAAUGCCUGAUUGAUUAAUUGAUUGCUUGAUAGUUACUUCCAAAAAGUAAGGACUAGAUUUAAUGUUUAGAACCAGGCGCUGGAAGCUAGAAGCUCUGAGUUCUUCCUCUAUUGCUAACUAGCCUGCUGAAGGACUUAGAUUUCCAAGCCUUAAAAUGAUAUCUUGCUAAUAUAGCUGUUUUUAGGCUUCCUGGUUAAUAAUUAAGAGGACUAGUUGGAUCUUCCACUGAAAACUGCUAAGUGUGCGGCUGCUUCUCCUCAGAUUGGGGUGGAAAAGCCAAGCAUAUUAAUACCUAAAUACCCACAGCCUGUGGGCAUUAUGUACAUGCUUAAUGAAUGUACUUUAUGAAUUCCAUUAGUUACAAUUACUUUUACCUCAUUUUAUUAUAGGAACGUCUCAAAAGGGAAAAGCCAACUGUCUAACUUAUUUUCAACUGUAAAUGAGACUGGCUGCAAUGGAGACUUCAUCACCAGCACAUAAAUGGAGUUGUCUAUAGCUAGCAGAGUCUCAUCACCACUCACACACAUUUGGGUAAACACAGUUAUGGGCGAAAAGUCUGGAAUAUUUUACAGACUCUCUCCACACUGGCCCAGCAGUUUCACAGUCAUAUUUAAUAAAUGCACUCCUUUCCCCAAAACUAAAAAUAUUAAAACUUUCUGAGGACUUUUCGUUUGUUUUGGCUAUAAUUAACAUUUUUCUAAUUUGCGGGUAUUUUGUCUGCUAUUCCUAUGAAGAAGUGAGCACAAAAAACAUUUUGAACCUUCUUCAUAUGGGUGCAUCUAAGUUCCCUCUCUUACUUUCCCCCUUUGGACAAUCUGGCCUUCUCUAGAGGGAGGGCUGGCGUGAAAGGGUUAAAGGUUCUCUGGUCAAAAUAGCCCAACAGAAGGAGCUGGGCCCAGAGCUGAAAUCUAAGUGCUAAUGACCGUUGCCCUUCACCCUACUGCUGUCCACUGGCCGGACCUGCGGCCGGGUGGGGCCCCGGACUGGGAGAGGGCACAAUAUUCUGCAUUUAACAUUUGAACUUCUCCUAUCCGAGGCAGCAGGCCGUUUUGUCCUGGGGUCGCUGACCCUGGCUCCCCCAUCAGCUGCCCUGAAACCUUAAUUGAAUGACAGAUGGUCAUUUUCGGGGGCGCCAGAAGCUGCGGGCGGCCAGCGGCGCGGGGACUGCGGCCCCAGGCCCCGGCAGUCCUGCCCGGACUCUGCCAGCAAGGGGCGGGCGGCAGAGGUAGCAGGCGGCUUGCGGAGCUGGCCUAGCCUGCGGGCGCGACGGGAUCUGCGGGCGUCGGGCGAACGCGUGGCAACGAGCACCUGGAGGAAACCCCGGCGUAAGAGGCCGCGCGGGCGUUAGAUCACCAGGUCCUAGCGUCCCUGCCAAUUCCCAGACCGAGGGCCAGACGCAGACUAGGCCCGAGCUAGGCCACCCGGGAGCCUGGCCCGGCCUCCGGCCCUGGAAGGCGGCAGAAAGGAGACAAAACCUCUGUCUUUCUAGGCCGAAGGCCUGAGUUCCAGCAUCCUGGGUCCCCACGCGUCGGGGUCUGGGGCCAAGACCGCCCACAGUCGGCGCCCAAGCCCAAGACGCCCAUCCCGGACCUGGCCUUCCCGCCAGGGCCCGCGCGCAGCUGGGAGCUGUUUAUUUAUGGCUGCAAAUGUGUGUGUUCAAGAGAGAGAGGGAAUUGAUCUUUGCCUGGACUUAAAGAUGGAGCCGAAGAAGCUGGAGGGAAUUUGGGCUUGUGCGUCUGGCCCAGACCCUGUGCGCCGAGCCCGAGGUCUAUCCUCCCCGCACCUCUCACCUCGCGACCUUGCAGGAAUCCGCGGGCCCGGAUGCUGCCCAGCUGACCCUCCUGCCCCGGGCCUGGCUGCAGAGAAAGUCUUCGGGCAGGAGGCCAUCCUGUUCCUGUCUUUAAAAUGAGCACAAUAAAAGGGGGCAAAUCCUCGAACGCGAACCUGAUCUCAUGUCACAGAAGCAACUUGCCAUGAAAUCCGCUAAUGCGCUGCGACUCGCCCACCAGGAUAAAUAACCCCAUCGUCCGUGUAAUCAGCACGUUCCCAAUGAAGUCGUUUUCCUAGAAUGCGCUCUCCGCCUGCCACACUUGAGGAAUCCAGCCCACAGAGGUUUCGGAAACCCAGUUUGAGUGAUUCCAGCCUAGACUGAAACCCUGAGAGCCUCCCAGGAAAGAGAGCCCGGCCUGGGCCAAGCAGUCGGACACACACACACACACACACACACACACACACACACACACACACACACACACGGACUGCGUAGCUCUUCGCAGGAUCGAAGGCUGGAUGCGGAUCUGGGAGGCGGUGGCUAAGCGAACCAGGAAGACUGUGACGGAAACCAAUACAGCAGUGUCAUCUUGAAAGUUAUUUGGAAGAACAGGACCUGGAGUCUGGGUUUGAAUCAAAAAAUUGUGAGCAAGGGACAGAUCACCCUGUAUUUCUCUGGAACGAGGCAGAACUGAGACCUGCUCAGCUGAACCAGCGUGGCCACAUAUUGGGGACUAGGAAAUUGUUCUCAGACACUGUAGCACACACAUCCUCUGACAGCGAGCUCACUCCUGCGCAGUGGGCUUCUGGUUCUGCCACUGCACUCCACAAACGCCCUACAGGCCUCCUCCAGGUUUUGCCAGGCAAAUGAAACGAGCACAACUCGAUAGUAAAUUAUUUUGUUCAGCCUUCUCUCUUUUUAUGAAAAUAAGAGGCAACACUUUGUCAUUUUUAAUCACAUAAGCAGACAAUAAAUCUAAUUUUGAUAUUGA